GUCGGAGGGGGGAGGCGGAGCCGGGCUGGGCUCGCGCGGGGCCGGGGAGCGGUUGGGGCCGUUGGAGCUCUGGGCAUGCGCAGAUUGCGGGGGCGGGGGGGCGGCGCGAGACCUUCGUUAACCCCCCCGUGCCCGGCCCGGGCCCCGCUCCCGCCGGAGCCGCCCUGGGGCCGCCCCGGGCUCCGCCCGCCCCGCUGCGGCGCUGCAGCCUCCAGGCUACAGAAUAACAUCCAGGUUUCACUCCAGAUCAUCCCGUCCUCCCAGGGGGAAGGAAAUGGCUGCAAUGGAGCUGGCUCAGGGUUUCCAGUUUCCAAACCUGAUGUGAUCUCGCAGCUGGAAGGAGGGGAAGAGCCGUGGGUCCCAGACCUCCAGGGCUCUGAGAAAGAAGUGCUCCCGAGAGCUGCCUGCACAGGGAGUGACCUGUGUCUGGAUUCUCUCUGUCUUCCAUCAGGUGACAAGAUGGUGAGUGAGAAUGAGGAGGAGACACCCCAGAAGGAAGAUGCUGAGGAAGUAGAACCACAUGGGAUGUUAUCAGGAAGAUCCAAAGGGAAUGGUUCCAGGAGUUGUGCACUCCCAGAAAAAGCAAAAGCCUGUGAGACUCGGCAGAGGCCAGAGGAAAACUUCAGUAGCCACACAGACCUUAUUACAUGCGAGAGAAUCAACUUGGAAGAGACACGCUACGCAUGCCAUGAGUGUGGGAAAAGCUUCAGUGGGACCUCUGACCUUCUCACACAUCAGAAACUCCACAGUGGAGAGAGACCAUUCAUGUGCUCUGAGUGUGGGAAAAGCUUCAAUAGGAGCUCCAGCCUCAUCAGCCAUCAGCAAAUCCACACAGGAGAGAUGCCCUACACAUGCUCUGAGUGUGGGAAAAGCUUCAAUCAGAGAUCUUCCCUGAUCACACAUCAGAGAAUCCACACAGGAGAUAUGCCCUACUCCUGCUCUGAGUGCGGGAAAAGCUUCUAUCGGAGCUCGACCUUUACCCGACAUCAGCGAAUCCACACGGGUGAGAAACCCUACACAUGCUCUGAGUGUGGGAAACGCUUCAAUGAUAGCUCAUCCCUUAGCACACAUCAGAGAAUCCACACGGGUGACAAGAUGGUGAGUGAGAAUGAGGAGGAGACACCCCAGCAGGAAGAUGCUGAGGAAGUAGAACCACAUGGAACGUUAUCAGGAGGAUCCAAAGGGAAUGUUUCCGGGAGUUGUGCACUCCCAGAAAAAGCAAAAGCCUGUGAGACUCAGCAGAGGCCAGAGGAAAACUUGAGUAGCCACUCAGACCUUAUUACACAUGAGAGAAUCAACUUGGAAGAGACACGCUACGCAUGCCAUGAGUGUGGGAAAAGCUUCAAUGGGACCUCUGACCUUCUCACACAUCAGAAACUCCACAGUGGAGAGAGACCAUUCAUGUGCUCUGAGUGUGGGAAAAGCUUCAAUAGGAGCUCCAGCCUCAUCAGCCAUCAGCAAAUCCACACAGGAGAGAUGCCCUACACAUGCUCUGAGUGUGGGAAAAGCUUCAAUCAGAGAUCUUCCCUGAUCACACAUCAGAGAAUCCAUACAGGGGAGAUGCCCUACUCCUGCUCUGAGUGCGGGAAAAGCUUCAAUCUUAGCUCAACCCUUAGCACACAUCAGAGAGUCCAUAUGGGGGCGGAACCUUCUGGAUGCUCUGAGUGUGGGAAAAGCUUCAAUCACAGCUCUACCCUGAGGACACAUAGGAGAAUCCACACAGGAGAGAUGCCCUACACCUGCUCUCAGUGCGGGAAAAGCUGCAGUCAGAGCUCAAACCUUAUCACACAUCAGAAAAUCCAUAUGAGAGAGAAUUGUAAUAAAUGCCUUGACUAGGGCUGGCUAAAGAUUUUUUUUUUUAAUCACGUUUGCUAAUUCCCACAUAGUGAUCUUUGCACCAUCUUCACCAUGAUUUCUCAGUUUCACCAGAUGAGUGGCCUGCUUCUGCCUUUUCAGCUCACCCUUCUUUGGGGUUGGUCCUGUCAUCUUUUCUGUCAGCUCCUUUCCUUCUGAAUCAUAGUUGUGUGUGUUCCUCCAGCCAGGAAUGUUCAUCAUCUCCAGGUGGGAGAGAGAGGUUUGAUCCCCACAAGCUACACUGAGGCAACAAAGUACCCGUCCCUUACUUCCACUAGGGGUGUACAUGGCAUUGGCUGCUCAAGUGAGUGAUCUUGGUGUGAAAAGACAAUUAUAGUGGUAGAGCAGAUGCAGCCCAGGUGCAGUGUUUGGCAUUAGCUUUCCCCUUGACCUGACCUAAACUCCAUCACUUUUCCUAGUCUAAACAAACCCUGAGCAUCACGGUUAUACAGUUCCCCCAUUUCAAAGCAAUUGUUAGUCAUUUAUUUCUCCCUUUGGGGGCAAAUUGUCUCCUUCCCAGUUGCUCUGAUGUUGCUUCGGGUUGCGUUGGAGAGCAGAUAUCUUUACUACCAUUUUCCUCGUUUGAAAUAUAUUGAACUAUAACAAAGAGCAGGAACAGAGCUAGGGGAAAAUGUCAUUUACCCUCUGAAUCAGAGGGAUUUCCUGCUUCCCCCUCACCAUCACUGUGCUCCCUCAGCCCAGUAGCUUUAGCUUCUGUGUCAACCACAAUAGAGUUUAUCCUCCCCAUACGCUAUCCCCCCACGUCCCAUGCCACAUGAUGCAGUGUUCCCUGUGCUCUGUGCUAGGAACCACACUUUGAGUCUCAAUCAGUCUUCUUGGGGCUGGGGAUUCAAGUGUCACAGAGCUGGAGGGGAAAUCUGAGUGGAUCCCAAACACAGGGUAUUCAUUCCAUCCCUGUUUCUAUCUAUUUGCAAAGCUGCUUCUGAACUUUUCCCUGCUGAUCUGGAAGUUUUGUUUGGCUGUUUUUGACCUGUUAGGGUGAUGGGAAAUGUCUUGUAAAUAACAUGACUUAAUAAUAAUAAUAAGGUGAUGUUGCAUGAAGAAGAUUUGAAUACAUCAGAGGAAAAUGCAGUGCACGAUUCUGUUCUUAUUUUGAGUCAUCAGAUGUAACCUGCUCUGGAAUGUGAUUUUAUAUGAAACUGAAAGUGUCUUAAUUACUCCUGGAGGAAUUCUGCACCACUGUACACGUGCAGACAGAAUUCCCACAGGCAUAUCUUACUCUCCUCAAUGUUGCAGGUUUCUCUCUCUUUCCUGAAUGCCAUUUGGUUACAUAAUUGCAUAUUCAUUCUAUUUGGAAGCCUGUUACUCAGAUUUGCUUGGGACUUUGAGACAAGAGACCAUUUGCUAAAACAGUCAUUUCUUCUUAUGUUUUUUUCUUUCCCUCACCCCGCCAGGGUGCCCUGGGGGAAGCUCAAGUGCAGUUAGGUCGUCAGGAGUGAAUGCUGCACUCUGUUGGACAUGCUACCAAGGAGACAAUAGCACUUCUAAUUUCCAUUCUGAAAUGGUGAAGACCAGCAAAUCACAAAUUGUGGAAAUAACUGCAUGCAAUCACACUGUUGUUCAGUUGGUUAAGUCAAUGCUUUGUCUAAAGGGCUGGGAAGAGGAUUCCCUAGUAAGUGACUUGUAACUAAGCAAAACACCCAGGCAUUUGGCUCCCAAAGCAGUGGUGGCCCACACCCUGCAAGAGGCUGCUCCUGAAGAUCUCUCCUUCUUAAUCAGGUGAAUUUUGCCUGUUAUUUUGGAAAUGCAAUCUGUGUCUAGGUAGAAAGAGAUAAAAUGGAUGAUAUUUCAGUUGAGUUCACCAUGGGAUAUAAGGCAAAUGUAUAGAAAAUCAAAUCCAUGUUGAAUGUGAUAGAGCUGCAGAAAGGUACCUAUUUUUAAUAGAUACCUGACAUUUGGUGUCUUACAGGGAUUCUGAGCCACACCUGUAUCUGUUCCCUAACUUAAAUGUGUGCCAUCAGAUUAAAGAAAGAAAUGGGCAUAUAUGUGGGAGUUAUACCUCACUAUUUCAACUUUACAUGCAGUGUUGAUCACAGUGAGCACAGUUUUGAAGUCAAAACAGGAGUAUGUCAGGGGUGUGUCAUAUCUGCAAUCCUCUUCAACAUUGCCAUCGACUGGGUAAUGUGAUGUACAACAGAAGACAUGCCAAAAGGCAUUAACCUUCUCAUCCCUUGAAGACCUGGACUUCGCAGAUCAUCUUGUUCGCCUAUCACAUACCCAACACUGUAUACAGGAAAAAACAAUGUGGCUCAAUGCAUUCAGCCAGGAAAUUGGACUGAAAAUCAACCACAAUAAGAUGGAUAUCAUGACCUUUAAUAUUGCCUCACCAUCACCAGUACAGAUAGAGGAUCAUGUUCUCCCCAAUGUAGAAACAUUCACAUACUUGGGCAGCACCAUCAGUCAGGACCAUGGCGCAAGCCAGGACAUCCGGAACAAAAUCACGAAAGCCAGGAACACAUUCAGGAGCUUAAAUACAGUCUGGAAAUUAUCAAAAUACAACACCAAAACCAAACUCCAUAUCUGUCAGAGCUGUGUACUUUCAACCUUACUUUAUAGUGCAGAAUGCAGGGGAAUGAGAAAGUAUGACAUGUCCAAACUGUCUUCAUUCCAAACAACCUGGCUCAGAAAAAUCCUCCAUAUCUUUUGUCCUUGAACAAUCUCAAACCAAGAUCUAUUGACACAGUGCAGCCAAGAGGAUCUGAGCACCAUCAUUCCCAGGAGGCGUUGGAGAUAGAUUGGCCAUGUGCUUUGGAAGGAAACUGAUUCCAUCACCAGAAUAGCAAUAAGAUGGACACCUGAUGCAAGCAAGAAUGAGGCUGCCCAAAAACAACAUAGCGAAGAGCUGUGGAAGUUGAGCUGAAAAACCUGGGGCACAGCUGGGGAACUAUUGAAAGACUUACCAGAAACAGAGAGGAGUGGAGGAGCUUCCUUUGGAGCCAUUCCAUGCCCAUGGGUCCCAAUCUGGCUGCCUUGUUGGACAAGAAGCACUUCCAUGCUGGGCAAAUGAUGGUAGCCAAUGAGGGAAUGUAUCAGAUUCCAAGGUCAGACUUUGCCCGAUACAUGAAUCCUAAGUCCAGAAUCUGUGGUUUGGCCUCUUAGUUUUCUAUUAAGUCUAAUGCAAUUGUAUCAUUUCUCCUCCUGCUGCUACUUCGAAAGAUUAGAAAGUGUGAAAAUAGAGCACAGGUGGUUUUUCGUCAUGAUGCAGCCUUCCCACGUAGUGUGAGACCCCCUUCCACCCACACUUACGGGAGAAGACCCAGGGAGAAAUGAACUCUCAGAAGUGGAAGGCUCCUAGCUUAUGGUAGAAUGUGACUUCACACAAAGCUCACUGGGUGGAAAUGGGAAUCAAGAGAAAACUGUCCUAUAGGUUUAUAUUUUGUAAUCGUUGAGUAAGUUGUUACCAGCAACAAUGAAAUUAAACAUGAAGUUAAUUAGUGUAAAGUAAGAGGCAGAUUAUGUGAUAACCUGAAUUAUAUUGUAACCCUCAAAGUUUCCUUCUUGUUCUCUCCCUGUCCCCUCCUACUACAUUGGAAAUAGUGGCUAAUCCUGAAAUUAAAACCUCGCUCCAAAGGAAUUAGAGCGGGGGAAUAUGUGAGAGAAAUAGCAUGUACAAGAAUAGAGACCCAAUAUAGACUGUAAUUAUUUAUUUUUCAAAUGGAAUUUAUUUUGAUAAGCUUUAAAAUAAAUCUGUUGAGAGGAAAAUUA